AAAAAAUCGAUUUGUCCUAGCAGUGGCUUAACAUUGCAAGUGAUGAUCUGCGUCGGUAGACCACUUAACUUAAGACCAUUACGGCAUUACUUACAAUUACACCCAUGCAGGUCGACGUGCGAAGUCACACGUUUGACUCAUGGUUCAUUGUUGAGAUGAUAUAUACAAGGAUGAUUUGAAGAACACGUUUGCGAGAUAUUCUGAGUAAGAAAGUCAAGAAACAUUAAUGUUUAGUAUUAAUGUUUAAUUAUACGACUUACA